CAGUCGCCGCGGGAAUACGGAGGGUGCAAGCGUUAAUCGGAAUUACUGGGCGUAAAGCGCACGCAGGCGGUUUGUUAAGUCAGAUGUGAAAUCCCCGAGCUUAACUUGGGAACUGCAUUUGAAACUGGCAAGCUAGAGUCUUGUAGAGGGGGGUAGAAUUCCAGGUGUAGCGGUGAAAUGCGUAGAGAUCUGGAGGAAUACCGGUGGCGAAGGCGGCCCCCUGGACAAAGACUGACGCUCAGGUGCGAAAGCGUGGGGAGCAAACAGGAUUAGAUACCCGUGUAGUCCCUGUCUCUUAUAC
rnacentral:rRNA from 1 species